CCAAUAGCGUAUAUUAAAGUUGUUGCAGUUAAAAAGCUCGUAGUUGAAUUUCGGGGUUAGUAGGUUGGUCAUGCCUCUGGUAUGUACUGGUCUCACUGAUUCCUCCUUCCUGAUGAGCCGUAAUGCCAUUAAUUUGGUGUUGCGGGGAAUUUGGACUGUUACUUUGAAAAAAUUAGAGUGUUUAAAGCAAGCUAACGCUUGAAUACAUUAGCAUGGAAUAAUGAAAUAGGACGUUCGAUCCUAUUUUGUUGGUUUCUAGGAUUGACGUAAUGAUUAAUAGGGAUAUUUGGGGGCAUUAGUAUUCAAUUGUCAGAGGUGAAAUUCUUGGAUUUAUUGAAGACUAACUACUGCGAAAGCAUUUGCCAAGGAUGUUUUCAUUAAUCAAGAACGAAAGUUAGGGGAUCGAAGACGAUCAGAUACCGUCGUAGUCUUAACCAUAAACUAUGCCGACUAGGGAUCGGAUGAUCUCACUUAUUAUGUGUCACUCGGCACCUUACG
rnacentral:rRNA from 1 species